UACAGGGGGUGCAAACGUUGCUCGGAAUUAUUGGGCGUAAAGCGCACGUAGGCGGUUUGUUAUGUCGGAUGUGAAAGCCCUUGGCUCAACUGAGGAAGUGCAUCCGAAACUGGCAAGCUAGAGUAUGUAAGAGGGUCGCGGAAUUCCCGGUGUAGAGGUGAAAUUCGUAGAUAUCGGGAGGAACACCGGUGGCGAAGGCGGCGACCUGGGACAAUACUGACGCUGAGGCGCGAAAGCUAGGGGAGCAAACAGG
rnacentral:rRNA from 1 species